rnacentral:rRNA from 1 species
CUUGAACUUUAUAAGAGGUCCAGCCUGCCCAGUGACUCUGUUCAACGGCCGCGGUAUCCUAACCGUGCGAAGGUAGCGUAAUCACUUGUUCUUUAAAUGUGGACUAGUAUGAAUGGCACUACGAGGGUUAUACUGUCUCCUUUUUCUAAUCAGUGAAACUAAUUUUCCCGUGAAGAAGCGGGAAUACAAUUAUAAGACGAGAAGACCCUAUGGAGCUUUAAACAACCUAGCAAUUACUUCUAAAAUUAUAAAUUUCAGAAUACUCAUUCUUUAAGCAAUAUGUCUGCAAGUUUUUGGUUGGGGUGACCAUGGAGAAUAACACAACCUCCAUAUUGAAUGAAUUUUUAUUCUAAGCUAAGAAUUACUAAUUAAAGCAUCAACACACUGACAUUUAUUGACCCA